CCUGGUGACAGAGCAAGAAAUUAAAAAAGAAAAAGAAAAAGAUUCAACUCCCCUUCUCCUUCCCUGCUUACUUGCUACUCCGUUGCCAUUUUUCAGACCAGUGAACUUGUCUCUGCCCUUGUCUCAUUCCUCAGUCAACUACUUGAAAUAUACAUUUUCAUCUUGUUUUCCUUCUUUAUGGCCACUGUCUCUUGCCUCCUCAAAUCCUAUCUUAUAUUCCACGUGACUCACGCCCUUCUCUGCUCUGACUUGUCUUAUCCCAGGAGCCAGUUGUCCAGCACAGUGUAAUGGGACAAUGGGCCCUGGUGCCACAAUGCCCGACAUCUCCACCAGAUACAGCUUUGAUAUCUUCAUGAUGAAGCUUGCUCCAAUCCAAGGGCUUUGAGGUGGGGUUUGCUGUUCAACUGCUAACUUUUCUUUGAUCCAAAUCCUGUCUUCACUGGCUUCAAGAAUCCUGUGUUCACUGGCUUCAAAACUGGGAUGAAGGAGCCUCCUUAGUGGAGAGCAAACCAAAGAGAAACUCAAAUUGGAUUCACAUUAAAGAAGAGAAGGAUGGAUUUUUUAGACAACACAAACCCAGGAAGGGUUUGAGGGGUGAAACAAACUGGGUUAUGGAUGAACAGCGGGUAAUUGGAAUAUAGAAUUGAAACAGUAAUUAACAUCUUGGUAAGUUACCCACCAUAAAAUGCUUUAGAGCAAGAUAGAUUUUUGUUUUUCUGUUUUUUCUUCUAUUUCUUCUUUUCUAUUUUUUUCUUUUUUCUAUAUUGUCGUGUAGGACACCCUCUUUUUUCCUCUAAUUUUGAGAUCCCCAUGAAUGAAAACAAAACAAAUAUUAAAAUAUUGCAUAGGAACAACACAAAUGGCUUUGGUAAUGCACAAACUGCAAGUGGAUUGGCUCUGUGUCAGCUGGUGCAUGUAGGAAGCUGAAGAAUAUUUUCUUGCCAACGUUUUGGAUCUUGAAAAUACAAGACUUAUUUUUUAGCGGGGGGUGGGCGCAAGGGUGCAAUCCAAUUAAAAAAAAAAAAAAGACUGUAUGACCAUUGUGUAGGAAGAGCUUCAGCUACCCUACGGCAGACAGUGAGUUGGUGUUCCACAAGUAACUGGGGGAGAUGAAGGGUACACUGUAGUCAGGGGGAGUCUCUCUGGGCCUAAAAUCACUAUAGAACAUUUUUCCAAAGUACCCUGGUGUCUGCACUGAUCCUGAGUGCUGGCACUUGCACUUUGUCACCACAUCCAUCUCAGAGCUGCCCCAGUGGCUGGAGACCUCUUGAAUAUCAGUAUCAUGCUGUCCCCCAACCUGGGGGAUUCGUUUUCCUCCCCUGCAGUAGACAUUCACGUGAAGGUUAAUCCACAGUUAGGAGUUACUUAACUCAAGCCUCAGAAAGCAUACACUGCAUCUUUAAGAAAUAGUUUACUUGUGAAUCAGUAAACGUACUAGACAAAGCAGCCAUUACUUAUGCAUUCCUGCAUACCCAGCAAGGUGAAAAUAAUAGAAUAAACAUCAUAUACUUCAUUAUGAUAUCGGUUUACACUUCCAGGGUACACAAAAAAAGGCCAUUUCAUCAAGCUAAUUGCCUGAAAGUAAAAGAGAGAGAACUUUAGCUAUUAGUCUAUUAUGGGGCUUUUUUCUUAAUCACAAAUAGGGGCCGUGUGUCCCUGGGGGGAUGUGUAUUCUAAUUUACAAUUGAACUACAGAUCAGAGCAAUCAAUCUUGGGCAGCACUUUUACAGUGUAAUUGCUGCAACAUAACAAAUAAAAAAAAAAAAAAGAGAGAGAGAGAGAGAGAGGAGGAGAAGAAGAAGGCCUAAGCUGAGCUUCAGCUUGAGGUGGAGAUAUUUCC